rnacentral:lncRNA from 1 species
UUCCGUUUAUAAGCUUAGUGCAGAAACCUCUUUAGUAGAGGACAACAACCAUGCCGUCAAUAAACGAUUGCUGAAUGAUGACAUCUAAGCUCUCUGAGCUAGAACAUAAUUCUGGCUCUGCUAGCAUGUUUUUGUGUGACCUUAGAUAAGUCACUCUACAUUUCUCUCAAUUUUCUCUUAUUACAGGAAGAGAAGGAUAAAAAUGACUGCAAACUACUUCAUGGAGAGCUUUUUGUUUAAAGGCUGACGACAAAUACCAGAGUCACAAGGUCCAGCAAACCUCCCUCAGAAGCAGUUGAGCUUCUUGAGGACAGGGAACUUUUUUUCUUCUUUGAAUCAGCAGUAUCUUAUUUGUAUUUCUGUAAUACAGUUCCUGGCCUAGAAAAAGGUCUCAAAAAAUGCUGUACAUUUAUUAAUGUUAUUAGGCAGAUUGCAAUCUUGGCAGGCCUCUUAAAUCUCUUUUCUGUGAUCCUUUCCAUACUCGGCAUGGAAAAGGCCGCCGCUGUUUGCUCUGGGAUAAGUACCCAAGGCAUUUACUUAAAAAUACCCAAGACUAGAGAAAUAAUUCUCCUGUCUUUAGGGCACCAUUUCGCCUUUCCGCGGCACUGCGCCCCAGGGCUUGGGAUCUGGGUCUGGAGGCGACAGGGAAGAGUUCUCUACGGGAAGCUCAUCCUCCGGCGUGUGAUUGGUCGGCUCACACUCCACUCACGCGGCUCGGGCCUCUGAUUGGCCCCCGUAGCACCCCCCCACCCCCCCCCUCGCGGCCCGCGACUACUUUGUGUACCCGGGUGGCGCGCUUGGGUCCUCCGGCUCAGCUCGCCGUCCGGGCUGGUCCGAGCUAGCUCUUCGGCCCACUACUCUGCACCGCGGGCGCCAGGAAUUUCCCGAGUCCGAGCGGCUUGUCAAUGAGCUGCAGGAAGUGACUUCCACAUCCUAAGUGAAUUGUCCAAACACCCAUCUUGAGAUGCAUCCAUCCAGAGUCGCUUUUGCUGGGAAAAACUUAACUUCUCUGGUGAUUUAAGAAGAGGAAACCGAAACAACAUGACUUGCCCAAUGACAGAGCGUUAACAGGAAAAAUGGGGUUUGAACUCGGGCAGCCCGUCUCCAGAACCUGGGCUUCAAAUGACUAGAUCACACCGGCUCUCUAGCGAUGUGCGCUAAGGUGAAAGCCAGUGCUCUCAGGGACUGCCCAGGUUACCAGUGACCACGGACCACUGCUUUGGAUUUUUACCGAAACUCUCCCCUUAUCUCUGACACUGCAGAUGACUCUUCUUCAAACACUCCUGCCUUGACACUUGAUAUUUUUUUUCUUUUUCUCUGAUUAUAUGUUGGUUCCCCUUUGUGGAUCUUUUUACCAAAUAUUUGUUGGACACCUACUAAAACCCAGGCAUUGUUCAAAGUGCUGAAGAUACUGCAGUGAACACGGGUCAAGAAUCCCUGUUCUUCUGCCUGCCCUCUUAAAAAAAUACGAGCUAAGUACUGCAAAACAGUUAACAUCUGCUUAAUUUCGGUGGUGGGUAAUGUGUGCUAUGUGACUGACUGUACUUUUUAAUGUCUAAAAUGUUUCAUAGGUUAAAGAAAAAUCUCAGUAGAGACUAUGGGAGGAAAGGGAAAUGGGGAAAAGUCUAGGGGAGUAAAGGGCUGAAGCAAGAGAAGGGAAAAGAAAAGAGGGGCGUGAGGAGAAGGGAACUAAGGGGAGAGGAAAAGCCAGGGGAGAGCCCUCCUGACUGCACCCUCCACAAAGCUGGCUGGACACUGUGAGCAUGUGAUACCCAUCAGCAGGUUCUCCCUGGGCACCUCAUACUUACCAUGGCCUAGCCAAACAGCAUUGCUUUAAUGAAGCAUUUGUUAACUGAGACAGACUUUCUCACAAACCGUUUUCAGCGUUCAAGGCCAGGAACCUUAUUCUUUUUGUUUAAUCGUACUUAGCUUGUUAACCUGAAACUGGACUGUAAACAUAUUACAGUUAGUUCAACUUUUAUAUUUAUGUCAUCAGGUUCAUAUAAGAACAAUUAGCAGGGGCCAGCCCCAUGGCUGAGUGGUUGAGUUCGUGUGCUUCGCUGCGGUGGCCCAGGGUUUCGCUGGUUCGGAUCCUGGGGGCGGACGUGGUGCCGCUCAUCAGGCCACGUUGAGGCUGUGUCCUGCGUGCCACAACUAGAAGGACCCACAACUAAAAUAUACAACUAUCUUCUGGGGGGAUUUGGGGAGAAAAAGCAGAAAGGAAAAAAAAGAUUGGCAACAGCUGUUAGCUCAGGUGCCAAUCUGUAAAAAAAAAAAAAGAACAAUUAGCAAAUUCAUUUACGUUCUCAGGUUUCUACUCCACUUUCAUUGAAACAGCUUUGUAGGUCAGUAUCAGCCAUUGAUAAACUACAUUUGAAUUUCAGAAGUAUAUAUGCAUUUCAAAAGUUUACUAUUUCAUAAUAGGAAAUAAAAAUUCAGCCCAUAUCCCCCAAAUGAGGCUUCCUGCCAAAGCAAAUAUUACUGUAGAAAAUAAUAAUUGGAAGAAUAAACAGCAUAUUAUUUUAUUCAUUGUUUUUACUUGCUACUUGAGCUUUCCCUGAUAAGGAUUUAAUAAAUGCUUUUUAUGAGCAUUAUAAAAAUGUGAGAAAAAUAAGCCGUCUUUUAUUUAACAUCACCAAAGAGGUAUCAACAUAUAUUGUCACACCUGUUUACUACUAUGCCUUUUAAAACACAGUUCUGUGCUGUGGCUCGGCCAAAUGCUCACUUUUAUGCACGUCAGGUUGCUAAAGAAUGAACUGCAAGGAAUCGAGGAUCUAAAUGGUAUGUUGUCGAGUGUUUAAUGUGCACCAAGUGUACCAAGUACCUUGAUGAAGCACUUUACGUGGGCCACUGCUAAGUCAUUUAAAAUCUCAUAACCAACCUGUAAUUAUCAUCUCCAUUUUAGCAUUGGGGAAACAAAUUCAGUCAGCAAAUGGUGGGGCUAGAAUUUGAACUGAGGUCUGACUCCAAAACCCAUGGUUUUUCCCACUCUACUAAGUUACACAGCUUAAAGGUUACAGUGUUCAAUCAUUCAUUAACAAAAUAUCAGUAAUACUAUCACUCAGUCUCAGAUACACAAAAAUGUAAAUUAUUUGCAGUACGUGGCUUAACUCCAAACUCAGAUGUGUAAUCCCUGAUGAUUACAAGCUGAUGAUCACUGAUGUCCUCUCUCAUAAUAAUAGACAGGCCACCAUGAAUGAACAGGAGAUUCCAAAACGUAUUGAGAACUUAGAAUGCACUUUCUUUUAUUUGAAAACAGUGCUAAAAAUAGUAAUUCUGUUCCCAGGCCAGCUCACAUUUAAAUAGUAAUUUAUCAACUGUAUCUAGCUACCAUUUAUAAAAAUAGGGAAAUAUACUUGUAUGUGUGUGGGAUGUAUUAAUACUCUGAGUUCCAAAUUGUGAUUCAGGAAUUCAUGUGCCUCCUUGUUUGUCACUGAGAACAGAGAUGUUCCUGACACCCAUGGCAGCAUGGCAACCUUGCAGAGAGGCAGGAAUUCAGCAGCAGAAUCUGGGGUCAAAGAGAAGACUAAUUAAUAGUGCCUGCUGGGAAAUCUGAACAAUCAUAUAGGAGACGGCAUUCCUCUCCUUUCAGGCAGUUUCUCUUCUACAGAACACUCAAAUCUAGAGUGUUCGUAAGUCAAAGACUAACUGUAUCACAAGUUAAUUUGGUGUACUGUGGAAAACACAUCUUCUCUUUUGUCUAUUUCUGCUUGAGCAUAAAACUAUAUGUACAAUGCUUAGUAGUCAAUUUGGCAAACAUUAUGGUUUAAAUUACAUACAACUGUUAUCUCUACGUUCAUUUGCAAAAGGAAAUCUAUACUGCCUAGUUAGUUAAUUUUUGUUACCCAGACUGUUCUGGGGCUGCUCUCACCUACCAGUUAGUAUAUAUACUCCAUGCAUUUGGUUUCACAUUGAUAUUAAAUAAAAUAUAACUAGAUAAUAAAAUAUAUAAACCCAAUAACAACAGUAAUAACAACUGUUCUGUCAAGCAACUACCAUGUGUCAGCCACUAUGUUGAUUGUUAAAUUAUUGAUUUAUGUUAAAUUAUUUCACUUAAACCUCAUAAUAACAACCCUAUGAGCUAGUUAUUAACCCAUUUCACAGAGAAAUGCAAGUUUGGUAAAGUAACUUCUCUCUUCAAGGUAACACAACUAAUAUAUGGUAGAAUGAGGUCUGCUAUGAAAGACUAUGAUCUUAAUCACUUCACUACAUUUACUGACCAACAAGGAGCCAGGAGCUGUGAGAGAAAAAAAGAGGUACAAAAUCACAGGCCUUAACCUAAAGAGAUCAUAUCCUAACAUCCAUUCAACAAAUAUUUUUUGAGUUCCUAUUAUGUUCCAGGUAGUGUUUUAAGCUGAAUCAGAGUUGUUUUUACUGGUGGCUCUUCGUUGAGGUUCUCCUCAACUAGUGUUAAUUCUAUUAUAUAAUAAUCUCCAUUGCCAAGGGUUUUUGGAGAAAUGGCUGAUUCUAGAGAAUCAGCAGAAGACUACAAAAUAAGCUUGGAACGGCUUGUCAUACUGGUAGCAAAAAAGCUAUCAAAGACUACUAGGGUCAUGUAAAAAGAUUCAGAAACCUCUUAAAGAGGCUCCCACUGGUCAAAGAUGGGACAAUUUGAGCGUCAUUAACCAUAUUAAUUGAAAUGGAUUAAAAUGUAAAUAUGUUUAAAUCUGUGAGUUUGUAAUAAUCCUUAAGAAAGUAAAACACCUUUAGAGGUUUUUAGAAAAAAAAUUCACUGUCUUGAAAACUGGUAAAUAAAAGUAAAAAAUUAAGCAUUUUUCUUGCCUUUCUUUGUAAAUUGUACUAUGCAGUAACAAAAUAGCAGAAUAGGAGAGUAUUCUAUGGAAGUAUCCUAAGUCAUAAAUGAAAGAGAAAUGAUUUAGAAUAUCACAAUUUUGCAACCCCCAAUGAAUUGUUGGAUCUAGGCAUUAACUAUCAAUGGCUGCUAACAUCAGAAAAAAAGACUCAUCCAGAUAUCAAGUGCCUCUUGAACACACUUCCUGUAGUCGUGCCAAAGGGAUAACACCUGAUUCUGAUCAAGCCUCUGGAUCCCACAGAAAAUCUGCAGGACACAUAGAGAGCAGACAGACAUGCUGAAUUAGACCAUUAGUAUGCAAUCAGCAGAAUCCAAACUGUGGGGAACUCUACAAGUCAAAUAGUCCAGGGUUCAAUAGCUAAAUUGUGAGGAGAAGAAAGAUGAGAGCCGGAACCUACAGAUUAAGAGGCUCCAAAAAAAUAUCAAAUUCAAAAAGAAAACAGGUAAAAUUAUUGUGUUUAGAGAUACACACUUGAGUCAUGAAGCUAUGGAUUAUCAUAAAAAUUAAAAUAGUGGUUACUCCUGGGGAGGGAGGCAGUUAUGAUUGGGAUAGUACACGGAGAGCUUCUGGAGUAGCUGGCAAAAUCCUACUUCUUGACCUGGGUGGUGGCUAUAACUGGGUUCACUUGAUAAUACGUUAAAUACAUUUGUUUUGUAUGGUCUUCUGAAUCUGUGCUUAUUUUACAAUAAAAUGGUUUGAAAAAAGAAGAUUCUGAGUCUGAUAGACAUAGUUGAAACUGCGUGAUCUGGCAAGUCAUCUAAUACCUCUGUGCUUCAGUUUCCUCAUGUGUACAACAGGGAAAAUAGUAAUACUUCACUAUAAUCAUGAGCAAAGUAUAGUUAAGAUCUUUAGCAAAGUGCCCAUUGGACAUUAUUAUUUCAAUAAAUGACAGUUAUUAACAAUUCAAAAAUGUGAAAUUGUACUAGGUGACCACCGAAAUUCUUUGCACAGAAUGAUUAUAGUACCCAUUUUCUUAAUCUAAAAGAUUUUCUGUGUAUCAGCCUCUUUUCAUACAACCUUGAAAGUUAAAAAAAAAUCUAAUAGAGAAAACUUCAGACAGUGCUUAUGUAAGUUUAUUUAGCCAGUAGUUAGACCAAAUGCCUUAUAAAGCAGACAUAUAUUCAGUUUGUAUAUAUGUCUUCAGUUUUACUUUUUAAAUUAACACAGAGUAAAAUUGAGUUUUGAGGGGGAGCGGGAGUAUACAAUUCUAUGAAUUUCAACACAUGUAUAAGUUUCUCUAACUACUGUCAUUCUCAGGAUACACUUCUGUCACACCAAAACACUCCCUCAUGUUAAUUCUCUAUAGUCACACACUCUCCCCACCUAUAAACCCUGGUAACUACUGAUCUGUUCUCCAUCACUAUAGAGUUGUAUUUGAGAAUGUCAUGAAUGGAAUCAUGAGACUAGACUAAGCAUAAUGCUUUUCAGAAUCAUCCAAGUUGUGGCAUCUAUCACCAGUUGGUUCCUUUUUUAUUACUGUGUAGUAUUUCACUGUAUGGUGUAUCCAUUCACACAUUGACAUUUGGGUUGUUCCGCAAUUUUCAACAACUAUGAAUAGAGCUGCUAUAAACACUCCUAUACUGGUUUG